CUCUCUCCCUCAUCACAGACGCCGCAUCGAUCUCGAUCCCUCUGACGCCACCUCACGUAGCUUCUCAUCAAGAUUUCGGGUUGGAAAUCGAAGCCUCAAGCAAGCAAGCAAGGCUGCUUGGCAAUUUGAUUCAGGUACAUUUGAGCUACAAACGAAGAAAAUGAGUUGUAGGAAGCAAGAAAAUGGAAAGAAAUGAAGAUUCUUGACGUUUCUACUUAAAACAAGGCGUGGAAGACAUGUGGAGGCAUGUGAUGGCAAGGGAAACCGAAUUGGACACAAGUUGUUCUAUAAAAAUCAAAUCCAUUACAGAUUCGGAAAAUUGCCAGUGCAGAUCAGUCAACUUCAACGGAGUGUCAAAAAUCGCUCAGAGAAUUAUGAUCUUUAUAUGGUUGGAAAGCCACGGAUGUCUAGUUUCCAGAACUUUUUACAGCUCGUCGAUAUCUAUUUUCUAGAAGAAAUUAUGACCGUUUUAGUGCACUGAGGUCAAGUCUGCCGGAAAUCUGUUUUUUUUUUUCAAAGUAACUCAAUUUGGUUUCUACAUCAUCUAUCUUAGUUUGUUUUCAAACUUGGGUACCAUUUGGAAAGAACAUUCAGACUGUUAUAGUAUAAAUAUAUUAUAGUAUAAUGGCUAUAUCAUGUAAUAGUACUUGAGUGUAUAG